ensembl:lncRNA
CUUCCUGAAGGCCUGGCUCCACAGAAGCCAUGAUAAGUUUCCAGGGCCCCACAUCUCCGAAGAGCAAGAGCUUUCCUCAUUCCACAUGCCUCACCUACAAGUGGAAUCAGCUGUGUGAGGGGACAGCACGGUCAAGGCUGACGAAUGUUUUUGGUGUCCCACACCCUGUACUAUGUAGUCUGACUUAAAACAGAGGGAUGAAGCCUUGUUUUUCACAAGUUCUCACAGAGCCUGAGCUCACAGCUCUGGGGUGAAAAGCCUGUCACUCUGGGCUUAGGCAGCCAGAGCCUGACUCCUGGCUCUGCCAGCAGUAGUCUUGGAUUUAGGGAAAGUUACUUACCUUCUCUGCCUCUUAUUUCCUUCUCUAUUUGUAAAGGUCAGAUGAUAAUACCCACCUUAUAAGGAUAAAAAGAUGAAAGAUGCAUAAAGCCUAGUGUAAGAGCACAUACGUAAGACAUACUUGGAUUCUGAGUCCUGACUUUGUCAUUCAUGAUGGACUUAAGCCUCGCUGAGCCUCAAUCACCGAAUCUGUAAAAUGGGAUUCUUGUGAGGAUGCCAUAAGCUAAUGCUCUUAGUGCUGUGACUGGCAUGGAAGAUGGGCAAAAAUGUUAAUUUAUUUUCUGCUGAAGAGUGAGAUUGCAAUUAAAACAUAAUCUUGGAGUUUCAAGGAAAUUGCCAGAACAUUCUAUCCCACAGCCUGGCUUGGAUCAUCCAAUAUACUGUAAGAGGGAUCAAAGAUUUCUAGUUUCUAGUUUUGGUUUAACACUUUUAUUCUAGGUCACAUCUUCAGCAGGCAAAUGGAAAUGAACCACCCCAUUUUCCUAAUAAACAAUGCUGAUAACAGGAAAGCUGGUGUGAGCUGCAGGCACCAAGCGAGUGCAGGACGCUGGUGACUGUGGAGCCUGCCUAUGAGUCAGAUUGGAGGAAAUACAUGCAGGAAGGGGCCAUGGUUACAAACACAGGCUCAGAGUCGGCCCAGCCGGCCUCAAUUAAAAUCCCAUCUGAUCACUGAGUAACCCUGGGAAAGUGAUUUAAUCUUUUAGACCUUAGUUUUCUACUUUGUAAACUGUGAAAAAUAAUAGUACCUGUCCACAGGGGCCUGUUGAGAGAAGCAGAUGAGAUAAUCUAUGACCCAUACACAGGGCUAUGUUCAGCACGUGGUGAGCUCUCAAUUAAUUUUAGUAAACCAUUAUUAUUAUUCAUCCAAAUAUCUUCUACGGGAUUCUUGCUCUGGAAAGAAAGUCCAGACUUCAUGGAGAAGCCCCACCCUACACCUAACUCCUUCCCACACCCUACCUAACCUGAGAGCUCUCCACACCUUAGCCCCCAUCCCCCAUGCUGACAACUCACCCAUGCAGUGUGGGCCCGCCCUUCCUCACAUGGUUGGUGUGAAAGUCAAGUGAGAUAAUUUAAUGACAGCACUUUGUACACUAUUAAAGACUGUGAAAAAGAUGUCAUUUGCACAGUAUUUCUUGGCCUUGGCCAUUUCUUUUCCUAUCGUUUAGUGAAAUCAACCAAAUAUUUGUUUAUAAUUUUAUGCUGCUUUCUUGUUCAAAAACUUUCAAUGACUUCCUUUAGUCUAUUAAGCAGUCUCAGGCCAGGCACGAUGGCUUAUGCCUGUAAUCCCAGCACUUUGGGAGGCAGAGGUGGGUGGAUCACCUGAGGUCAGGAGUUUGAGACCAACCUGGCCAACAUGGUGAAACCCCAUCUCUACCAUGGUGGCAGGUGCCUGUAAUCCCAGCUACUUGGGAGGCUGAGGCAGGAGAAUCAGUUGAACCUGGGAGGCAGAGGUUACAGUGAGCCGAGAUCACGCCAUUGCACUAUGGCCUGGGUGACAAGAGUAAAACUUGGUCUCAAAAAAAAAAAAAAAAAAAAAA